AUUGAACGCUGGCGGAAUGCUUUACACAUGCAAGUCGAACGGCAGCACGGACUUCGGUCUGGUGGCGAGUGGCGAACGGGUGAGUAAUACAUCGGAACGCGUCCUGUAAUGGGGGGAUAACCUGGCGAAAGCCAGGCUAAUACCGCAUACGUCCUGAGGGAGAAAGCGGGGGAUCGCAAGACCUCGCGUUAUAGGAGCGGCCGAUGUCGGAUUAGCUAGUUGGUGGGGUAAAGGCCUACCAAGGCGACGAUCUGUAGCGGGUCUGAGAGGACGGCCCGCCACACUGGGACUGAGACACGGCCCAGACUCCUACGGGAGGCAGCAGUGGGGAAUUUUGGACAAUGGGCGCAAGCCUGAUCCAGCAAUGCCGCGUGUGUGAAGAAGGCCUGCGGGUUGUAAAGCACUUUCAGUGGGAAGAACAGAUU
rnacentral:rRNA from 1 species